GACUCCUUGGGGAUUUCAGCCAUCAAUAUGAGUUCCUUGAUCACAGUCCUACCCAAAAAGGGCUCACUGACUGCAACAGAAAAGCCCACAAACGUCCAGGUGUUCUUUCGGGCCAGAAGGGAAGUGAAGGUCGAGCACCAGCCCAUUCUGCGCUGUCAGAUUAUUGAACCCAAUCUUGCAGAAGGAAGUGAGAUCAUUGCCAGCAUCCCAAUUAAAUGUUCUGUGAAUGCAGUGCAUUCCAAAUUCAACAUCAGCCCCUCCUCCAUCAUCAACUUUGGGGCUUUGAUCUGUGGCACUCGAAGGAGCACCACCUUCACCAUAGAAAACCAAGGCAUUAUCGACUUCAAGUUCGCCCUCUACAGGCUGACAGGGGAGAGCCACAUGCACCACAAGAAAGUAGCUGGCCACAGUCGACACACCAGAACCCGGGAAAGUGAGACCUUCUUCAAGACUGGCACUUCCAAAACAGCCAAGUUCUCAGACUCGAUUCAGAAAGAUGUGACCAUCACAAGCCAGGCCCGCUUCUCUCAUGGGAUGUUCACCGUAUACCCUGGGUUCGGCUCCAUUCCUCCUGGAGGACAGCAGGUCAUCACCGUGGAUUGCGUGGCUGACCCCGUGGGAAGGUGUGAGGAGUUCAUAGCCAUCGAUAUCACCGACCGAGACCCUAGAGAAUAUCCUGCUGGCAUUACUUACACUCUGCUUGCUGAAGCCUGUAUGCCAGCCUUUGUGACGGACAACAAUGCUUUGAUAUUUGAGGAGCACCAGAUCUGUUCCAGCCCCAACCUACACUACAUCUUGCAGACCAUAAAAACCGGGGGACUGUUUGUGGAGGAUGAGAACAAGUUCAUUUUCUGCAAUGUCCUGGUGGGCCAUCAGGCCAAGGCUCGGUUCAAGAUCAGCAACCUGGGAAAGAUCGCCUGUGAUGUCAACAUCGCAGUUAAGCCCAUCUCCAAUAAGGUCAUCGCACGCAUCACGGACAUCUUUGAAGUGGAACCCAACAAGAUGUGUGUCGCCAGCCGCUCACAUGCCUUUGCCACGGUGUCCUUCACCCCACAGACCAUGCAGACUUACCAGUGCAUCUUUGAGGCUACCUUAGAUGGCUUGCCCAGGUACUGCUCCUAGAUCCCUUCCAG
rnacentral:lncRNA from 1 species